rnacentral:rRNA from 1 species
UCCGAACGANGGUCCAUGGAGCUUGCUCCGGAAGACCUAGUGGCGAACGGGUGCGUAACACGUGAGAAAUCUGCCCCGGACUCUGGAGUAACAGUUGGAAACGACUGCUAAUACCGGAUGCCUUCAUUUGGCCGCAUGGUCGUUUGAAGAAAGAUUUAUCGGUUUGGGAGGAUCUCGCGGCCUAUCAGCUUGUUGGAGAGGUAACGGCUCACCAAGGCAUCGACGGGUAGCUGGUCUGAGAGGAUGAUCAGCCACACUGGAACUGAGACACGGUCCAGACUCCUACGGGGGGCAGCAGUGGGGAAUCUUGCACAAUGGGCGAAAGCCUGAUGCAGCGAUGCCGCGUGCGGGAAGAAGGCCCUAGGGUUGUAAACCGCUUUCGGGAGGGAAGAAAAUGACGGUACCUCCAGAAGAAGGUGCGGCCAACUACGUGCCAGCAGCCGCGGUGACACGUAGGCACCAAGCGUUAUCCGGAUUUAUUGGGCGUAAAGAGCUCGUAGGCGGUUAGGUAAGUCGGGUGUGAAAACUCUGGGCUCAACCCAGAGAGGCCACUCGAUACUGCUAUGACUAGAGUACGGUAGGGGGAGCGGGGGAAUUCCUGGUGUAGCGGUGAAAUGCGCAGAUAUCAGGAGGAACACCAAGCGGGCGAAGGCGCCGCUCUGGGCCGUAACUGACGCUGAAGAGCGAAAGCAUGGGUAGCAAACAGGAUUAGAUACCCUGGGUAGUCCAUGCCGUAAACGUUGGGGCACUAGGUGUGGGUCUCAACCAACGAGAUCCGCGCCGUCGCUA